rnacentral:tRNA from 1 species
GGCCGGUUAGCUCAGCUGGUUAGAGCGUAGUGCUAAUAACACCAAGGUUGCGGGUUCGAUCCCCGUAAUGGCUA